UUUCCGUAGGUGAACCUGCGGAAGGAUCAUUAAAAGAUUUAGCAUAUUCUUCUGAGUAUACUUCAUUAACCCAUUCCGAGUACCCUACCCGUUGCUUCCGCGAGGCUGUCCUCACGGCCCUUUGAAGAUUUAUCUUUGGAGAGUCCUUGCGGGAGGUAUACAAUAAACUCUUGCAUUACCAUGUCAUCUGUCUGAAUCUGUUUAAAACAAAUAUUAAAACUUUCAACAACGGAUCUCUUGGUUCUC
rnacentral:misc_RNA from 1 species